GCCUGAAUGGUUCAGUUGGUGGAGCACGCGACUCUGGAUCUUGAGGUUGUGAGUUCAAGCCCCACGUUAGGUG
rnacentral:tRNA from 1 species